AACGCGAAGAACCUUACCAGGGCUUGACAUCUACAGAAUCUUUGGGAAACCAAGGAGUGCCUUUCGGGGAGCUGUAAGACAGGUGGUGCAUGGUUGUCGUCAGCUCGUGUCGUGAGAUGUUGGGUUAAGUCCCGCAACGAGCGCAACCCCUGUGUUUAGUUGCUAACGAGUAAUGUCGAGCACUCUAGACAGACUGCCGGUGAUAAACCGGAGGAAGGUGGGGAUGACGUCAAAUCAUCAUGCCCCUUAUGUUCUGGGCUACACACGUGCUACAAUGGCCAGUACAGACGGACGCGAAGCCGCGAGGUGGAGCAAAUCCGAGAAAGCUGGUCUCAGUUCGGAUUGCAGGCUGCAACUCGCCUGCAUGAAGUCGGAAUCGCUAGUAAUCGCAGGUCAGCAUACUGCGGUGAAUACGUUCCCGGGCCUUGUA
rnacentral:rRNA from 1 species